rnacentral:misc_RNA from 1 species
CACGGCCAUGGGAAUCAGAAAGCCGGCCUCUUUCCAUGGCCCACUUUAUGCUCCCUCGAACAAGCAUAUCUGCUUCGUCAAUGUCCUCAAGCAUGAUUACUGAAAAUGGAUUCCUCUUAACAGCUUCUACUAUUCGAUCAAGUGCUGUUUUACCACGGAAAUUCACAUCAGAUUCCCCAUUGUCACGUCGUGAACCCAGAGAUAACAUUAUUGGAUUGGUCCCACGGAACAGCUCUGAUAGAGCAGAUGCCAUCUUCUUCUUGCCAAUCCUGUCAGGACCUGUGAACAAUAGCCAAAUAUCACCCUUUGAUGCAUUACCCCGCCGUUUACCAUUGCCCAAUUUG